UACGAAGGGGGCUAGCGUUGUUCGGAAUUACUGGGCGUAAAGCGUGCGCAGGCGGCUGCUCAAGUCAGGGGUGAAAGCCCAGAGCUCAACUCUGGAAUUGCCUUUGAGACUGAGUGGCUUGAGUACGGGAGAGGUGAGUGGAAUUCCCAGUGUAGAGGUGAAAUUCGUAGAUAUUGGGAAGAACACCGGUGGCGAAGGCGGCUCACUGGCCCGUAACUGACGCUCAUGCACGAAAGCGUGGGGAUCAAACAGG
rnacentral:rRNA from 1 species